CACGAUAGGCAUUAUUAAGUUAAAUCAAGGCGCGCAUGUGCUUAAACCGAUUGAAGAAAUAAAACCAAUUGUCCUGAAAGUUCAGAAAAGAUAUAGCUUACCAGUUGUGGAAUGAACUAAAAGAUAGUUAUGUUAGGACAGUGACACCGAGAAAAAUCAUCAAAGGUUAAUUCGCACAUAAAGCUGGGCUUUUGACCAUUCAAAAAGUUUCCCUAGAAAGAUUAUUAUCGAUUUUUAAGUCGCUCGUAAACAACCCCCUGAAAAUAUACCCAAAAAACUGAAGAGAUGGCUUAUCGCUUGAAGGCCACCAAAUGUCCCACGGACGAGCUUUCGCUGACCAAUCGAGCCAUUGUGAAUGUGGGUGAUUUUCCGGAUGAAGUCAAGUAUGCGGACAUAUCGCCAGCUGCUGGGCAGCACUUCAUUUUCGCCCUGGAGAAGACCGUAGAGGUACCCAGUGGCUAUGUCGGCUUCUCCCUCGUCCAACGUAAAUGGGCCAUGGUCUCCAUUAACCAGGAACUGGAGGUUCGUCCCUAUCGUUUUGAUGCCAGCUCGGAUGUCAUCACCUGUGUGUCCUUUGAAACGGACUUUCUGCAAAAGAAAACUGUCUCCCAGGAGCCCUAUGAUUCCGAUCAAAUGGCCAAGGAGUUUAUCAUGCAAUUCGCUGGAAUGGCCCUAACUGUGGGCCAAUCCUUGGUCUUUAACUUUAAGGAUAAGAAACUCCUUGGCUUGGCUGUCAAAUCCCUGGAGGCCAUCGAUCCGAAGAGUUUGGGAGAGGGCAAGGAGCCAGCAAUGCGAAAUGUCCGCUUUGGCAGGAUUCUGGGCAAUACGGUUGUUCAAUUUGAAAAGGCCGAGAAUAGCUCUUUGAACCUUCAGGGCAAGAGCAAAGGCAAGGUGGUUCGGCAGUCCAUUAUAAAUCCGGAUUGGGACUUUGGCAAGAUGGGCAUUGGUGGCCUUGACAAGGAAUUCAAUUCGAUUUUCCGACGAGCCUUCGCCUCUCGUGUCUUUCCACCAGAACUUGUCGAACAAUUGGGCUGCAAGCAUGUCAAGGGCAUCCUGCUAUAUGGUCCACCUGGUACUGGUAAAACCCUAAUGGCUCGUCAAAUUGGUACCAUGCUGAAUGCCCGUGAACCAAAGAUUGUCAAUGGACCGCAAAUUCUUGACAAAUAUGUUGGCGAAUCGGAAGCCAAUGUCCGGCGACUAUUCGCCGAGGCUGAGGAGGAAGAGAAACGUUUGGGACCCAACAGUGGGUUGCAUAUCAUCAUCUUCGAUGAGAUCGAUGCCAUUUGCAAGCAGCGUGGCUCUGUGGCCGGAAAUAGUGGUGUACACGACACCGUCGUCAAUCAACUGCUAACCAAAAUCGAUGGUGUUGAUCAGCUAAACAAUAUCCUUGUCAUUGGCAUGACCAAUCGCAGAGACAUGAUCGAUGAGGCACUACUGCGACCCGGUCGUCUCGAGGUCCAAAUGGAAAUCAGUCUGCCCAACGAACAGGGCCGCGUUCAGAUUCUCAAUAUCCAUACCAAACGGAUGCGUGAUUUCAACAAGAUCAACGACGAUGUGGAUAACAAGGAGAUUGCUGCGCUAACGAAGAAUUUCAGUGGAGCCGAGCUGGAAGGAUUGGUCCGUGCUGCUCAGUCAAGUGCCAUGAAUAGGCUGAUCAAGGCCGAUGCCAAGGUGACCGUGGAUCCCGAGGCCAUGGAGAAGCUAAAGGUUAAUCGUGAUGACUUCAUGCAUUCGCUGGAGAACGAUAUCAAGCCGGCAUUUGGUACGGCUCAGGAAAUACUGGAUAAUAUGCUGGCACGAGGUGUUAUCAACUGGGGAACUCCAGUGAGCAAUCUCCUUGAGGACGGCAUGCUCUAUGUACAACAGGCCAAGGCUCCAGAGUCGAGUGGUCUGGUCUCCGUCCUUGUGGCCGGAGCUCCCAACUCUGGUAAGACAGCACUGGCCGCCCAGCUAUCUAAGAUGUCCGACUUCCCAUUCGUCAAAGUCUGCUCGCCCGAAGACAUGGUUGGAUUUACUGAGUCAGCCAAAUGCCUUCACAUUCGCAAGAUCUUUGACGAUGCCUAUCGCUCCACGCUCAGCUGCAUUGUGGUGGACAAUGUAGAGCGUCUGUUGGACUACGGAUCGAUUGGUCCUCGAUACUCCAAUAUGACACUACAGGCGCUGCUGGUGUUGCUUAAGAAACAACCUCCCAAGGGCCGCAAGCUGCUUAUUCUGUGCACCUCGAGUAGGAGGGAGGUACUGGAGGAGAUGGAGAUGCUGACGGCCUUUACCUCGGUGCUUCAUGUGCCCAAUCUGUCACAGCCGGAACAUGUUUUGGCCGUGCUCGAGCACACGGAUAUUUUUAGCAAGGGAGAGAUACAAGCCAUUGGCAAGAAGAUGGCCGGAAAGCGUGUCUUCAUUGGCAUCAAGAAGCUUCUGGGACUUAUCGAUAUGGCACGGCAGACAGAGCCAUCUCAGCGGGCUAUUAAGUUCCUGUCCAAGAUGGAGGAGGAAGGUGGCCUAGAUAUGGUGGCGCGGCAGUGAGGGAUAUGAAGCUGGAUAUGCCCAAAUGCAAUCUCAAUUAUUAGCUUCUAAGUGCAAAUUGAUGGGCAAGAAGGAGCCCAGUGCGAAUCAGUGGCGUUGACUCCAUGUACACGCUUCGCGUUGUUUGUUCGGUCCCAAAUCCAAACUAAAAACGAAAAAGAAAAGAAUCCACAUCCCGGAGGAGUUUCCUGUGUUUCUGAGUUCCCCCACAGAGCUCAAUCAAAUCUGACAGAUAUGUGAGACCCGUGACCUGAAGAUGAUGGCAUUAUAUAAUACAGCAAUAUGGACAGAUACUCAAUUACAUUUAUAAAUAACACGCGUAGCUACUAAAUCGUUAAUAGCAUGAUAAUCUUUCUCGUUACCUUUAAUUUUAGGAUUUGCUUCAGUACAUUUUCACAGCUGGAGAAAACACCAAAAGUUUUGCCCUUAGGCAUUGUGAACGUUGUUUAUCGGUAAAUUUAACGACCUAAUUAAUUAAAUAAUAUAUUUAUUAAAUCAAAUAUUGUUAACCGCCAAUGUUAUACAUAUAUCUUAAAUAAAGAAAACGAUCUCAAAUUCCAUCUUA